GUACGCUGGCGGCACGCCUAACACAUGCAAGUCGAACGAAGUAGCAAUACUUAGUGGCAGACGGGUGAGUAACAUGUGGGUAUCUGCCCUUUGGCCUGGAAUAACACGAGGAAACUUGUGCUAAUACCGGAUAAGUCUUUACGGAGAAAGCUUUAUGCACCAUUGGAUGAGCCCGCACUUGAUUAGUUUGUUGGUGGGGUAAUGGCCUACCAAGACUGUGAUCAAUAGCUGAUUUGAGAGAAUGAUCAGCCACAUUAGGACUGAGACACGGCCCAAACUCCUACGGGAGGCAGCAGUGGGGAAUCUUGCACAAUGGAGGAAACUCUGAUGCAGCGAUGCCGCGUGAGUGAAGAAGGCCCUUGGGUUGUAAAGCUCUUUCGUCGGGGAAGAAAAUGACUGUACCCGAAUAAGAAGGUCCGGCUAACUUCGUGCCAGCAGCCGCGGUAAUACGAAGGGACCUAGCGUAGUUCGGAAUUACUGGGCUUAAAGAGUUCGUAG
rnacentral:rRNA from 1 species